AGACCAGCACCGUACUACUGAGCGACGGGAACAAGGUAUGUAAACAACGUGUGGGGCCAGUGCACAGGCGGCAGCGGAAGCGGGACACCGUCAUCACACAAGAACAACAGAAGACCAGCACCGUACUACUGAGCGACGGGAACAAGUUCUCCUCAAUCGUCGACGGCGUAAAAAACAACAACCUAGAGAAAGAGACGGCAGAUACCAUCGUCGAGCAGAACGGCAACGUCGAACUGAAGGAUGUCGUCAACGAUAAUUAUAUCGACGAGGUCGUUGCUCAAGUGUAAAUAUAGUUUAUAUUUAUGCUGCAGAUUUUUUCAACGCAACUAUGUUUGCCAUCAGAGGGCCUACCGCGAAACGUUUGACGUGUUGCCUCUCUGUCGCACUUGUAAAUGCGUACGUAAGCGUGACAGGGAGGCAACACAUCGAACGUGGUUCGCGGUAGGCCCUCAGGGCCAAAAUUCUGUUCGUGGUCCUGUUUAUUGUCCCCCAAAAAUGUGACAGAGUGGAGAUUUUUGUGUGAGAUUUUUUUUUCUCAUGUAUAAUGUAAUCUACAGCUAGAAAGACAUACAACAGCACUCGACUUUUUCUUAUAGAAGACAUAGAUUUUGUGCUCGAAAAUAUUCCAAUAUUUAUCUCUAUCAGACGUCCCUAAACUGAGGCGGUUGGUAGAUAUGCCAAAUAAAAAAUGUUAAUGUUACAAAAUUAUGUAAUUUUUAUCUUGAAUUAUUAUGAUUUUUAUUUUAUUUCUAUUUACUAGUUUAUUUGUAAUUAAUAUUAUUUUGUAUAUGUUUUGACAUGUUUUUUCCAUGUCCUGGCGUUUGGCCUUUGCUGUGAGCCGGACAUGUGUUUGAAAAUAAAUCAAUAAUAGAUGCGAGCGUGACGGAGUGGUCAGAAACAAGAUCGAAAAGAAUGUUGGCUAUGAAUUAUUGGAAAUAUUUUAACACGAUUUGAUGUAUAUCAACCUCAGAUCCACGUUAAUUUUUUUUUCGAAUUUUUAAUUAUUAUAAAAGAUCUUCCUCGCGUUGUCCCAGCAUUUUGCCACGGCUCAUGGGAGCCUGGGGUCCGCUUGACAACUAAUCCCAAGAUUUGGCGUAGGCACUAGUUUUUACGAAAGCGACUGCCAUCUGACCUUCCAACCCAAAGGGUAAACUAGGCCUUGUUAGGAUUAGUCCGGUUUCCUCACGAUGUUUUCCUUCACCGAAAAGCGACUGGUAAAUAUCAAAUGAUAUUUCGUACAUAAGUUCCGAAAAACUCUUUGGUACGAGCCGGGGUUUGAACCCGCGACCUCCGGAUUGCAAGUCGCACGCUCUUACCGCUAGGCCACCAGCGCUUUAAUUAUUAUAAAAGAUAAGAAUUUAAAGUUUGUAUGCAAUUUGUUUUUCGCUCUUAUCUCUUAUAACGACCAAAAAUUAAAUAAAAGUCAAACGAAGGGACCUUUAUGAAUAUACAUCAAAUUGUGUAAAUAUACCUUCUAUAAUGCUACUGUCCAGAGAGGAAAAUGGGGACUGGGUUUGUGUGGAGAAGCGGAAAGGGGCCACCCUUUCCCCUUAAGCCACAGACAAAUAUAUUGUAAUAGACCAUAGAUAAAUUCAAAAUUCAAAUAUUUAUUCUGCAAGUAGGCCUCAAGGGCUCUUUUACAAGUCAAUACAACAUUUAUAGUAACAUAUAGUGACAUGAAAAAUACAUAACAACAUUUAUAAAUACAACAGCCAAUACCUGGGUAAACAUUACAUUAUAAUAAUCUUAAAAUAAAUAAUUACUACAAUACAAUAGAGAUGUAUAGUCUCUAUGGUUAAAAAUACAUUAAAUCUGGAGAUGUAAAAGGUCCCCAAUGUCAGAGUACUAAUACUAAUAAGAUCUGAACAACAACUGCGUUACUUUACUAAAACCUUACAUUUUAUAAGAAAAAAAAAUUGCGAGAGUAACAUUGGUUAGGGGUAAACAACAAGACACUUUUGGAGUGAAUAUUUUAAGUAAAUAUUACCGUAUUUUAUAUCAUUUUUAUAAAUUAUGCUAAUAAAUCUUUGGAGCAAAAUUGUAACGCAGUGGUAAUAAUAACAGAGUUGCCUACAGUAAAAAUUUGAAUUAAGGAAAAAUAAAUAAUUUUACAGUACAUAUGGUGCUACUUUAUCGCACUAGUGCGAAAAUUAGCAUAUUAUGUUACUGUGUCGAACAUUUAAAGGGCCAUAUGUACUGUAAAACGUUGUACGAUACAUGUGCGAAUAGGUAAUUCGCAACUCGUGUCGAUUUAAAACACUCCCUUCGGUCGUGUUUUAAUUUAUCGCCACUCGUUUCGAAUUUCCUAUUUUUCGCACUUGUAUCGUAAUGUACUAUUAUUAAAUGUUAUAUAUUACAUUGUUUGUUUAUUAUAUGAAACUUUAAUAUAAACGUAAUUUUCUUAAAAGUUGUCUGAAGUUUUUGCGUUGGAAAUAGAUUUCAAUUUGAAAAGGGACAAGUUUUUAGGCAUUUAAAAGUAUUUUGGUCUACAAUUCAUUUACAUAAACGUACCUUUUACACUAACAUUAUGCCAAUACAUUAUAAACCUUAAAAAUAAGAUCACAUAGACAGCGUCAUAAAACUCAAUAUUUUUUUGGUGUCCAUGACGACUUUAGCAAACUUAUCGAUGCUGCAAAUUUGCAUAUCAUUGAAAAUUUGAUUUGACAAAACGAUCUACCGUAGGUAACCCUAUCUUCACCGCUGGUGCCAGGGCCGGAUAUAGGGGAGGGCAACCGGGGCUACUGCCCCGGGCCUCCACAAAAGAGGGGCCCCCCCACAAUAGAGAAUGCGGUAAAUUUACCAUUUUAUUUGGAAAAAAUUUGGGGCCAGGGGGCCUCCACUUCUUUAUUGCCCGAGGCCUCCAGACCUCUAAAUCCGGCAUUGGCUGGUGCCCUCCGCCUCCAGAAUGCCCUGUAUAAAUAGGUAUGUUGAUUUGCAAAUUGUAAGAAAAAACUGGUGAUUUUUGACCAAUGUUUUUUACUAAUGUGUACUUACACUAUAGUUAAUAAUUGAAAAAGUCUGCAGAAUAAAGGUGGUCAUCUCCAUUUACUGUUUCUGGUAAAAGUUUCCACGAAAUCUAAUCUUCCAAGACCUAGUUACUGUAUACCAAUUUGGAGAUGUCUCAACUGACUUAGAAUAAUGUUGUUUAUUUUUAUUACUUUUAUAUUUUUAUUUUAUAUAGAUCUUAUUAAUCUAAGACCGAAAAGAUCUCAUUUUCUUUUAAGUCUUUGACCAAUUAAUGUCAUAUAAGAGACAGUGAGAUAUUUUAUUAUUAUUAUUGUAAUUAUUUGUUUAAGCUUUACCAGAAUAGUUUAAACUAUAUUUUAGUAGUAAUACCGAAGAAAAUUAGAAAUAGAGGUGGAUUGUCAAACAAAACUUGUAGCCACAGUAAAUUUACUGCCAUCUUUUGACAUUUGAUUAAAACUUUUAGAACACCAUUUGACUUUGAUCCUUAUUAAUAUAUAUAUCAAAAAGUGGUGCCAUCUAAUAGAUCAAAGACCAAAGGUAUGGCGGCAUCGUUUCAACCCAUGGCGCCACAACCUUUAGCCGGUGCCCGGUAAGAUGGCGCCACUUUUUGAUAUUUAACAAAUUUAACACAUAUACAGUGAAAUAAAUAAGGAUUACAGUCAAAUGGCGUUCUUAGUUUCAAUCGUGUCGAAAGAUAGCAGUAAAUUUACUGUGGCUACAAGUUUUCGUUGACAAUCCACCUCUAUUUCAAAUUUUCUUUAAUAGUACUUAAUCAUAAUCAUUUUUCAUUUGAUCAAAAUUCUAUGUACCUAACUUCUUGCCUUAAAAAACAACAAAAGUUGUAGAGCAUUAUACAUAAGCUUUUUGUAAAUAUUUUAUUUUUCUGGCAAAAUUGACGAAAAAAUUGAUUGUAACUCUUAAUUCUCAUAAUUAUUCAACAAGACUUCGUUGAUUUUAUACCUAUUCCAAUGAACAUUCCUUUGAAGUAUACUUAAUUUAUUAAGAAAAAAAUAUUUAAUUUAAAAUAAUUGGCCUCAUUCGGCCUAAAAUGACUUAAUCUCAAAGUUUAUUUAAAAUCUCCAUAGAUUUAUGUAGGUUAAUGGCCCUAGUGAAAAAGGGUACAAGUCUCUGGCAGCGCAGGUGUAAAGGGGUGUAAGUUCCACGUAACACUUAUGCCCAGGGGUCGGACAAAAAGUGCGCAUGACGUCAAACCACUUAUAGGAUGAUUUCAAAUACAUAGUAUUUUUGAUUUUCAUAAACAAUUAUCACUUAUCAUUUAUCAACCUCUUUAUUAAACGAUAUCGCCACUUGAAAUGAGUAAGUACGUUUUUGACUGAUACAUUGUCAAUCAGAUGAACAAUUAUUAAUAAAUUGACUUCGUUACUGUUUAGCUAUUGUAUCUUCACGAUUAUAUUUAGCUAAAAUUUAUAUUUACUAAUGUAUAAGAAAACGCUCUAAAAUGUCAUGUCAUCUUUACUCGAAUAUUGUGGCAAUUUUCCGUUUUUGGAGGUACGUGACAAACACGUAUACUGCUAAUCUUACCUACUGUUCCCACUUUUGACUAUUAAACCUAUUUAUCUGAGGAUCCCACAGACUUGUUCUAACUAAUUUCAAAUAAUUAUACCUUAUGGUAACAAGUUUCGUGAAAUUUAUUUUAUUCACUACAUCACCCUACCACCUGUAUUAUUAAUUCCAUGGAUUUAUUUACGUUUAUUUUGUUACUUCAUUAAUACUACAUGUCACACAAGUUUAAAUACAAACUCAAACAUCAUCCUGUGUGUAAGAUUACGUCAUUUUUACGUCAUCCGCACUUUUUGUCCGACCCCUGUUAUGCCCUUAUACACCUAAACUGCCAGAGACUUGUACCCUUUUUCACUAGGGACACAGUUUAAGUAGAUAUUAGUUGUUUAAACUCAAAGGGGCUUUGUAUGAGACGCUUAUUUAUUUGAAACUAUAUGUUUUUUUUAAAUGUUAUUAUAUAUAAUAAAGAAUUUAUUAUAAUGUAUAAACCUAUCUCAAUCAUUCUUAGUUCCUUCUGACUUUUUCCUAUCGUAUAUGGAAGACAAAAUAGACAACUAUAAAAUAAACAACUCUACAGUCGCUUCAGAUAUAUCGUAGCGGCCAAAGUGCUCAUAAAUAUCUGAACACGCAUUCUAACUGUUCAGAUAUUUGUGAGCACCCUGGCCGCUCCGAUUUAUCUGACGGCGACUAACAGCAUCCUGUAAGGUCCCUUUUCGUUUGAACGAUUAUUAAACCGUAUUAUUUAAAAUGUAAGUGAAUUUUAGUCAUAGAGCGUUUUAGCUGGUCUGAAACUUUAUUUAUAAUUAUUUUGGUAUUUUUUAUUUAUUUAUAUCGAGAUCAAUGAUUUUGCUAUUGAGUGUUGUUUUUAUAUAACAUAAACUAAAACUACAGUACUGUAAACUUUUUAUUUCUCAGUAGAAAUGUCUUAAACAAGACUUUUUUCUAUAUUUGUACGUAUGGUUCUGUUAGAGACGGUGAUUGCAAGUUUAAUCCAAUAACUAAAAAGCUGGACAAGUGCGAGUUGGACUAGCCUACCGAGGGUUCCGUACUUUUUAGUAUUUGUUAUAGCGGCAACAGUAAUACAUCAUCUGUGAAAAUUUCAACCAGGGAUCGGAAACCGGUAUUUUUUCUAUGGGAACGAAAACGGUAUUUUUUCGUUCUUUGUUAAUUAUUUCAUUUCUAAUCGGGCAAUCUAAUAAUACGAAGUCGUUAUCUAAAAACACAACCGAGUCCUAUAUUUGGAGUAUAAAAUAAACCGAAAUAUAUGUUUAUUUCAAAGUUUUUCCAAAAAACCGGUUCCGAUCCCUGAUUUCAACUGUCUAACUAUCACGGCAGCCAAACCCGGAAUUUAACGGAGUUUUAAAAAAUACACACAAAAAUCCUUCUAUGAUGUAGCGAAAAGGAUACUGUUUUAAUAAUGUACAGUAGUAUUGCUGUAGAAAAAUGAUAUUUACCUACUAUGGGUUUCAAACAUACAGAGACCGCUAUUUAAGAUUACUCUUGUAAUCAUCGACUCAUUCCAAGGCCAGGCUCGGAAACCGGUUAAAUUUCCAAACCGUUAUCAUGUACUUGGCGCAAAACCUUUUGAUUUCGGUUUCGCUCGAAAAACCGGUUUUUAUGAGACCAGUUCUUGUCAAAGUAACCGGUUUCUUCCUAUGUCUGUGUCUAUGUUUACGUGGCACACCACCAGACCGGCCGGCCGUUUCGUCGUAUGUCGAAUAAACCGGUUUUUUUAGGUUACAAAAAUGUUCGCGUUCUUAUAAAAGUUCGGAAGAAAACCGAAAUAAACCGGUUUUUACCUGUAUUUUAUAAACCGAGUUCGACAUAUGACCUUUAAUGUGUUUACAUCUCUUUCUGCGGAGUAGUUCCCUCGAAAGUAACUCAUCAAAUUGCUUUCAUGGGAAUACAAUGUUCCCUCAACUUAUUACCCUGAAGAAAGGGUCAUAUUCUCGACCUCAACGGCAUGUCCUAGCCGGAAUGUCUAGUCUAAAAGGUUCUCGAUUUCUAUAUCAAUGUUUGACAGCUUUUUUUCAAGACUAGUAAUAAUGUGAUUUGAGCGCCUGUCAAAAUUGAAGAAGUAUUUUUUAUAUAUAUUUUGCUGCAAUACUAUAUUGACGGCGUUGCUAUGGAUAUUGUAAGUGUUAGUGGUAUAUACGGGGAUGAGUCUUCUGUCGACGGGGAAUCGCAAAAGAAACCUAAUGAACUUGAGAUUACGGUGAAAAUUCAAUGCCGAAGGUUUCCUAACGGCUUUGUUGAGGGACCUGAAACGUGGAUAGCUCAAGUCGAUUCCAUGUCGAUGAAGAUAGCAAGACAUUAAGAGCACUUUUUGAUGUCAACGGACUUUGGCAAAUGUACACGCUCAUCGAAAGAUCCCGAGACAGGCCGAGAACGAGUGUGUACAUAUUGCUCCCUUCUGGUCUUGUCUCGCCCUUGCCCGAUUGAGUCGGAACGGUGCCGAGACUCGACGAGUGUGUACGGUCAUGUCCGAAAAUAUCGAUACGGACAAAGUGCCAAAAAUAUGUAUCUACUCUAAUAUAUGGGCCAUAAGGUUGGGUAUACAUACUUUUGGCACUUCGAUCGUGUCGAUGUUGUCAGACGUGACUGUACAGCCGGCAUAUGAAUUUGACCGCCACAGUCGGGCAUAGCCGACAAAUGUUGCAGUGUAAAAGGGUGAAUCAACUUUUUUUGUUUUGUUAUCCUGUCCCGUUGUCCAAGGGACAACAGUGGCACAGUUUGUUUGAAGAGACGUUGUAUGCCGUUCUAUUAACAUGCUUAGUAGGGGGCCCAUUAUGGACAUUGGUUAUAACGACCACAAAAACGCAAGUUUAAUACAUUUAAGUACCAUAAAAUCAGUAUUUCAAUGAACUUUUGUCCCCUGGACAACUAAUCGUAACCAUGGCAACGAGUGACUCUAAAAAGUUGAUUCUCCCAAAACGAACCGUUAUAUAAUGUAAUGAAGUUUACUAUUAUGUGUUUUAUAAAAUAGUGGUGGCGGUCAAAAUGUAAACCGAACGCACGCGCCGGCGAAACAACGCUAGCGUUGUCUACGCUUAGAAAUGAUUAAAAAAAAGUGAAAACUGAUAAAAGUGCUCCGACCCUAUUUAGGAGAUAUUAAUAGUAAAUGUGUCAGUGUACGGGACUAGCCCGCCCUACGCCACGAGUCGAAUAUAUGUUACCAUUUUUUUAAAUAACUUGGCACUGUGUCUGUUUGAAAAAUAUAGUUUGGUUUUUAUGAAGACAA